rnacentral:lncRNA from 1 species
AACUAAGAGAAUAAAAGCAUAGAAAAAUACACUAAGGCCCUGUUUGGAUGCAUAGCUAAAAAACUCCAUGGACUUUUUAUUCUAUGGUUUUGGCCUAAAUGAAAUACAGAAUCCUGUAACUAUAAAAAAAUUCCACAGUUUCAUUUUUAAGCUGUUUGGAUACAAAUCAUACAAUUCCACAGUAUUUAUAACAAUUAAAUUUCUAAAAUUUUAAAAUUCAAAAUUCAAAAUUCACAAUUCAAAAUUCAAAAUUUAAA